rnacentral:lncRNA from 1 species
CCUUGGGGACCCACCACAGCCUGUACAGGGGGUCUACCCCCUCCUCAGGCCAGGCAGGGGUGUCACCCUGAGAUGUGGGGAGUUGGGGGGGGUGGAAUGGACAACACUAAGGACCCCAACCCUGUGUCCCCCCACCCACCCCCAGCCGAUAAGGCGCUGCUGCGGAGCCAGCUGGACCAGGCAGCCCUGGCCAAGAAGGAAAUGGAGGAAAACUGCCGCAAAGCGGGGUCCACCUUGACCAGGGCCACCCAGGAGCAGGAGAACUGCCAGCGGGACCUGCUCACCACCAAGACCUCCUGCGAGGCCACCCAAACCAACCUGAAGCUGCUGAAACACGAGUGCGGGACCUUGAGGUCCGACAUCAGCUACUCCUUCCAGCGCAUCAAGGACAUGCUCAGCCCCUACAGCUGCAGCGCCGUCUACGAGCAGCUCAACCGGUUGACCCAACGGAUGGAGGGGCUUUUCCUCUGGCAGCAGGAACGGGAGACCCUCUACGUGGGGAAGAGCGUCUGCGACCUGACCCUCCAGCAGUGCCACCUCAACUGCUCCCGGGAGAAGCAGGAGCUGGAGAAGCGGCUGCAGGAGAUGGAGAAGCAGGUGAAGGUGGGGCAGGAGGAGAAGAAGAAGGUGCUGGGGGAGAAGGAGCAGCUGGGCAAGGAGCUGGAGGAGAAGAGCAAGGCGGCCGCGCAGGCCACGUACUUCAAGGACCAGUUCAACAUCUGCAUGAACACCAAGAUGGACACCUUCUUCGACGUCACGGGCUCGCGGGUGCUGGGGGGCAGCGGGCGGAUGGUCCCCUUCACCAGCACCAGCUCCUACGUGGAUGCUCUGAGGAACCAGGGCAUCUUCGGGAACAUGGGUGAGUCCUGAGGGGUGGGGGGGUUUGUCACUGUGGGACACCGUCCUCCCCAUCGUGCUGGGGGGCCAGCGUGUCCCCCGUUGUCCCCUCCCCCCCCCCACCUCCCACAGCCCCCCCAGGACUCAGCCCCCCCCCCCGCUCCGUCCCACCAGGGAAAAUCAACACGGAGGAGAUCCAGCGGUCGGUGCAGAAGAUCAUAGAGCAGUACACGUCGUCCACCCUGAAAAACUCCAGGUGAGGUGGGGCGGGGGGCCCGGUACGGGACCCCCACCGGUGCUGGGGGGGGGGAGGGGGUCAGGAGAGGGGGCUGGGGGCCUGAUCCUGCCUUCUCUGCAGCGGUUAAUGCCCGAGCGGCACGUGGAACGGAGGACGAGCCCAGGAGGUGCUUCUCACGGCACGGACGGCAAACCCCAACCGGGACCACCGGGACCACCACCGUCCUCCCCCCUGCCCCGGGGAAGGGGGGGGCCACCAGCGUGUCGGGGUCCAGAGCCCCCUUCUGCUGUCCCCCGAGCCCCCCCGCACGCUCGCCUCCUCCCCGCAUGUACCCGUAGGCUUGGAGAGGGGGCAGCUGUAAAUACAGCCGGCUCUGAGCACCGACGCAGCUCGUCGCACGCGUGUUUCGGCGCCGACGUUGGGAGGGGGGGAACCGCAGAGGCCACGGCCGGGAUGGGGAACGGGAACAUCCCGUCCCCGGCUUCA